AUUGAACGCUGGCGGCAGGCUUAACACAUGCAAGUCGAGCGGGGGAAGGUAGCUUGCUACCGGACCUAGCGGCGGACGGGUGAGUAAUGCUUAGGAAUCUGCCUAUUAGUGGGGGACAACAUCUCGAAAGGGAUGCUAAUACCGCAUACGUCCUACGGGAGAAAGCGGGGGAUCUUCGGACCUUGCGCUAAUAGAUGAGCCUAAGUCGGAUGCGCUAGUUGGUGGGGUAAAGGCCUACCAAGGCGACGAUCUGUAGCGGGUCUGAGAGGAUGAUCCGCCAAGAUGGGACUGAGACACGGCCCAGACUCCUACGGGAGGCAGCAGUGGGGAAUAUUGGACAAUGGGGGGAACCCUGAUCCAGCCAUGCCGCGUGUGUGAAGAAGGCCUUAUGGUUGUAAAGCACUUUAAGCGAGGAGGAGGCUACUCUAGUUAAUACCUAGGGAUAGUGGACGUUACUCGCAGAAUAAGCACCGGCUAACUCUGUGCCAGCCGCCGCCGUAA
rnacentral:rRNA from 1 species